CCCACCACUCUCGUGGUGGGCUUAUUUAUUGCGUCGCUGCGCGACU
rnacentral:sRNA from 21 species